rnacentral:rRNA from 1 species
AUUGAACGCUGGCGGAAUGCUUUACACAUGCAAGUCGAACGGCAGCACGGGUGCUUGCACCUGGUGGCGAGUGGCGAACGGGUGAGUAAUAUAUCGGAACGUACCCAGUAAUGGGGGAUAACUAACCGAAAGGUUAGCUAAUACCGCAUACGCCCUGAGGGGGAAAGCGGGGGAUCGAAAGACCUCGCGUUAUUGGAGCGGCCGAUGUCGGAUUAGCUAGUUGGUGAGGUAAAGGCUCACCAAGGCGACGAUCAGUAGCUGGUCUGAGAGGAUGAUCAGCCACACUGGAACUGAGAAAGGGUCCAGACUCCUACGGGAGGCAGCAGUGGGGAAUUUUGGACAAUGGGGGAAACCCUGAUCCAGCCAUUCCGCGUGAGUGAAGAAGGCCUUCGGGUUGUAAAGCUCUUUCGGCAGGGAAGAAACGCUCUGGAUUAAUACUCCGGGGUAAUGACGGUACCUGAAGAAGAAGCACCGGCUAACUACGUGCCAGCCGCCGCCGUAA